CCCGGAUAUCGAGGACCGGCUGGUCGCCGCCGGCCUGAAGCCGACGGACCGUGCCGAAACGGUGCCUCUGGAAGGGUUCUGCGCGCUUGCCCGGGA
rnacentral:tRNA from 1 species